UACGUAGGGUGCGAGCGUUGUCCGGAAUUAUUGGGCGUAAAGAGCUCGUAGGCGGUUUGUCGCGUCGACUGUGAAAACCCGAGGCUUAACCUCGGGCCUGCAGUCGAUACGGGCAGACUAGAGUUCGGUAGGGGAGACUGGAAUUCCUGGUGUAGCGGUGAAAUGCGCAGAUAUCAGGAGGAACACCGGCGGCGAAGGCGGCCCUCUGGACGGUGACUGACGCUGAGGAGCGAAAGCAUGGGGAGCGAACAGG
rnacentral:rRNA from 1 species